CUACCUUCGGAUGGGGAAUAACAAUCGGAAACGGUUGCUAAUACCGCAUAAUGCAGCGGCACCUAAUGGUGACAGUUGUUAAAGCGGGGGAUCGCAAGACCUCGCGCCUGAAGAGAAGCCUGCGGCAGAUUAGCUAGUUGGUAAGGUAAUGGCUUACCAAGGCGACGAUCUGUAACCGGCCUGAGAGGGCGGUCGGUCACACUGACACUGACAUACGGGUCAG
rnacentral:rRNA from 1 species